AACGAACGCUGGCGGCAUGCCUAACACAUGCAAGUCGAACGAGACCUUCGGGUCUAGUGGCGCACGGGUGCGUAACGCGUGGGAACCUGCCCUUAGGUUCGGAAUAACUCCCCGAAAGGGGUGCUAAUACCGGAUAAUGUCUUCGGACCAAAGAUUUAUCGCCUUUGGAUGGGCCCGCGUUGGAUUAGCUAGUUGGUAGGGUAAAAGCCUACCAAGGCGACGAUCCAUAGCUGGUCUGGGAGGAUGAUCAGCCACACUGGGACUGGGACACGGCCCAGACUCCUACGGGAGGCAGCAGUGGGGAAUAUUGGACAAUGGGCGAAAGCCUGAUCCAGCAAUGCCGCGUGAGUGAUGAAGGCCUUAGGGUUGUAAAGCUCUUUUACCCGGGAUGAUAAUGACAGUACCGGGAGAAUAAGCGCCGGCUAACUCCGUG
rnacentral:rRNA from 1 species